rnacentral:rRNA from 1 species
AUGGCUUCCCACCCGUCGUCGCCGCCGCCGGAACACCGCACACCACCCGCUCCCACCACCAUAAGUGACCUCGGCGACGACCAGCUCCGAGAGAUCUUCCUCCGCCUCCCGGACGUCCCCAGCCUCGCCUCUGCCGCCUUCACCUGCCGCGGCUUCCUCGGCGCCGUCCGUUCGUCCCGCGCCUUCCGCCGCCGCUUCCGCGCGCUCCACGCACCCCCGCUCCUCCCUCGCUUCCCCGCACACAUGGUUGCUCCGUUCCACGCCUCACGGCACCCCUCCGCUGGAUUCACCCCCCUCCAAGACGACGGCACUUCCGACUGGCGGGUCGAUCUCUACGAUCCUUCGGUUCUCUACAACUACAAUGGCGGCUGCAUCGCCAUCAAGCACCGGAGCGCCAAGCACAGAGUUUGGUACAACCCUCAAACGAUGGCCUUGCUUCUCCGCCCCAAGGAUCAUCAUGACAUGCCCGACGGCACCACCCUUGGGUUCCACACAUUCUGCUCCGAAGAUGAUCAGAUGCCAUCCCGUGUGGUAUGUGUCCGCCACGACUACUCACGGCCUUGCGCACGCGUCGCUGUCUUCUCAUCAGACACGAUGGAGUGGCAGAUCUUCCCGGAGACUGCGACGCCGCUGCCUCAUGGCCUCAGGAGCACAGCUUGCACCGUGCUGGAUGGGUUUAUCUGUUGGCAAUGCGGGUCCAUGAGCGAGGUACAUGUCAGCGAGUACAUUUUCGUGCUCAAAACAGAUACAUUUCAGUUCUCUCAAAUGAAUUUACCGCCGCCCUUGAGAGUGGCACACCAAAAUUUUAAGAUUGGACAGACAACUGACGGCAAGCUCUGUAUCGUAAAUGAGAAGGAAUGCAUGUUUAGUAUGUGGAUCUUGACAGCUGGCGAUGACGGCAUCGAGAAAUUUGUGCUGCACAAGAUGUUCCCAUUGCACGCUAGCUUUAUGGAGAUCACCAGCUGUUCAGUGGAAGAUACAAUCUCAGUGCAGCUUCUGAUGGUUUUCAAUGGUUUUGUGUACUUUGUACUUCGCCCAUGGAAGAAUUACGUGGAUCAGUGCAGAUCCCCUGAGUGGUUUCUGUCCUUGUCUCUGGAAACAGCGGAGCUGAAGCAACAUCUGAAGAAUGGAAAGCGACUUGGCUUCCCCGUCCAUCCCUACUCGGCCUGGCCUCCUAUUCUGCAAUACAUCUCGGAGGAUUCAAAAUCUGAGGUUACUGUAAACGGUGUUGAAGAUGUUGGUUCUGAGAGCACAGAAAAGGAUUCAUCUAUCCUUAUAAAAGCAUUACGAUCAUAUAAAGAAGGUUUGAUUAAGGAUGGUGACGCAAAUGUUGCAGAGAUAGAGGCCUUCUCGCUUUGUAUUGACGUUGAGGAUGAGAAGAACUCUCUUGUGAGGAAAAUCGUUGCUUUAGAUGAACUGUUAUUAACUGUGAGAGAUCGUGUCUUGAGGGCGGCUGCAGACUCUGAAUUCGCAGACUCUGAAUUCUGCAGACAGAAGAUCAAAACAGAGAGCUGGUGGCAAAUGUGCAAGGUGAAGUUAUGGAGAGCUUUCUGCGCUAAAUAA